GAUGAACGCUGGCGGCGUGCCUAAUACAUGCAAGUCGAGCGAACGGACGAGAAGNCUUGGGCUUCUCUGAUGUUAGCGGCGGACGGGUGAGUAACACGUGGAUAACCUACCUAUAAGACUGGGAUAACUUCGGGAAACCGGAGCUAAUACCGGAUAAUAUUUUGAACCGCAUGGUUCAAAAGUGAAAGACGGUCUUGCUGUCACUUAUAGAUGGAUCCGCGCUGCAUUAGCUAGUUGGUAAGGUAACGGCUUACCAAGGCAACGAUGCAUAGCCGACCUGAGAGGGUGAUCGGCCACACUGGAACUGAGACACGGUCCAGACUCCUACGGGAGGCAGCAGUAGGGAAUCUUCCGCAAUGGGCGAAAGCCUGACGGAGCAACGCCGCGUGAGUGAUGAAGGUCUUCGGAUCGUAAAACUCUGUUAUUAGGGAAGAACAUAUGUGUAAGUAACUGUGCACAUCUUGACGGUACCUAAUCAGAAAGCCACGGCUAACUACGUGCCAGCAGCCGCGGUAAUACGUAGGUGGCAAGCGUUAUCCGGAAUUAUUGGGCCGUAAGCGCGCGUAGGCGGUUUUUUAGUCUGAUGUGAAAGCCCACGGCUCAACCGUGGAGGGUCAUUGGAAACUGGAAAACUUGAGUGCAGAAGAGGAAAGUGGAAUUCCAUGUGUAGCGGUGAAAUGCGCAGAGAUAUGGAGGAACACCAGUGGCGAAGGCGACUUUCUGGUCUGUAACUGACGCUGAUGUGCGAAAGCGUGGGGAUCAAACAGGAUUAGAUACCCUGGUAGUCCACGCCGUAAACGAUGAGUGCUAAGUGUUAGGGGGUUUCCGCCCCUUAGUGCUGCAGCUAACGCAUUAAGCACUCCGCCUGGGGAGUACGACCGCAAGGUUGAAACUCAAAGGAAUUGACGGGGACCCGCACAAGCGGUGGAGCAUGUGGUUUAAUUCGAAGCAACGCGAAGAACCUUACCAAAUCUUGACAUCCUUUGACAACUCUAGAGAUAGAGCCUUCCCCUUCGGGGGACAAAGUGACAGGUGGUGCAUGGUUGUCGUCAGCUCGUGUCGUGAGAUGUUGGGUUAAGUCCCGCAACGAGCGCAACCCUUAAGCUUAGUUGCCAUCAUUAAGUUGGGCACUCUAAGUUGACUGCCGGUGACAAACCGGAGGAAGGUGGGGAUGACGUCAAAUCAUCAUGCCCCUUAUGAUUUGGGCUACACACGUGCUACAAUGGACAAUACAAAGGGCAGCGAAACCGCGAGGUCAAGCAAAUCCCAUAAAGUUGUUCUCAGUUCGGAUUGUAGUCUGCAACUCGACUACAUGAAGCUGGAAUCGCUAGUAAUCGUAGAUCAGCAUGCUACGGUGAAUACGUUCCCGGGUCU
rnacentral:rRNA from 1 species